ACCCUCAGUGUUUUUAUCCAUUCAUAUGGUGAGCAGCUGGACUGUCCAUAAGUUGUCCAAUGACAAAGUAGCAAGCAAUGCUGACUCACCUGAGAGUACCAGUUCCCCUUGGUUUCACUCACAUACCUCCAACUUGUCUCUCAGGUAUAUAUCUUGUCUGUAACAACUGUCAGGAGUUGGCAAGCCAGAACAAGAUCUGUUUGGAGGACCAGACACCACCCUCUAUUGAUAGUGAAAGGUCAGGAAAUUGCAAAACCAAACAUUGCCUCCAUUCUGGAAGAUGCCUCCUGAUAUGUCCUUCCCCCUCACCCACCAUCGAAAGAGCUGCAACUCUGAAACAGUAUUGUAAAAUUGCACUUUAAUUAAAAGGAAAGGUGGAGGAAUUCAGCAGCAAUCUUCUUGUUGUGCGAGACAAUUCCUAUUUAAGCUGGAGGCAGCACUCUCAAGCCAUAUGAGGUAAUUUUCCUUGCCUAACUAGUCCAGUCUUGCUCAGGUUCUACCAACCUGUGUUUAUGGGCUUUUCUGAAGCAAAACCAUCAAAGACUCCGUCAUAUGGGUCCUCGGGCUGGACUGGCACCAUGAGA